CCCCCCCCCCCCCCCCCCCCCCCCCCCCCCCCCCCCCCCCCCCCCCCCCCCCCUGGGGGUGUCUGGGUGAUGCUGGGGUGUGUCUGUGGGUGAUUCUGGGGGUGUCUGGGUGAUGCUGGGGUGUGUCUGUGGGUGAUUCUGGGGGUGUCUGGGUGAUGCUGGGGUGUGUCUGUGGGUGAUUCUGGGGGUGUCUGGGUGAUGCUGGGGUGUGUCUGUGGGUGAUUCUGGGGGUGUCUGGGUGAUGCUGGGGUGUGUCUGUGGGUGAUUCUGGGGGUGUCUGGGUGAUGCUGGGGUGUGUCUGUGGGUGAUGCUGGCUGCGGGGGGGAUUUCAGAUGUGGGGGGCUGCUGGGGGUGUGUCUGUGUUAAUUUGGGUUACGCGGGGGUUCUGUGUGUGUGUGUCCGUGGGUGAUUCCCGCAAGGAGGGUCCGUUCGUGUCCCCCUGUCCAUGUGUGUCCCCGUGUCCGUUCGUGUCCCCCUGUCUGUCCGUGUCCCCCUGUCCGUGUGUAUCCCCGUGUCCGCGUCCCCGUAUCCGCGUCUGUCCCUCUGUUUGUGUCCCCCUGUCCGUUUGUGUCGCUCUGUCCGUGUCCCUCUGUCUGUUUGUGUCCCCCCGUCGGUGUCCCCGUGUCCGUGUGUGUCCCUGUCCGUGUCCCCCGUCCGUGUCCGCGUCCCCGUGUCCGUGUCCCCCUGUCCGUCUCCCGCUGUCCAUGUAUGUCCCCCUGUCCGUGUCCCCUAUCCGUAUGUCCCCUUAUCCGUGCCCCCUGUCCGUGUGUCCCCCUGUCCGUGUCCCUCUGUCCGUGUCCCCGUGUCCGUGUGUGUUCCCCUAUCCGUGUGUCCCCCUGUCAGUGUUUCCCUGUCCGUGUCCCCCUGUCCAUGUACCUCUGUCCACGUCCCCGUGUCCGUGUGUGCCCCCCUACCUGUGUGUCUCCCUGUCCGUGUUCCCCUAUCCGUGUCCCCUGCCCUUGUCCCCCUGUCCGUCCGUGUCCGUGCCCCCUGUCCGCGUCCCGGUGUCGCCGCUGCAGUACCGCGUCCCGCCUGCCAGGGGGCGCUGGCCCGUCCCGCCUGCCAGGGGGCGCUGGCGGCGGGCUCUGCUCUGCGGCGCGGGGCGUGGUCCUGCCUGGGCGUGGCCGGGGCGUGGUCGAUGACGCAGCCC
rnacentral:lncRNA from 12 species